GAUGAACGCUGGCGGCGUGCCUAAUACAUGCAAGUCGAGCGAACAGACGAGGAGCUUGCUCCUCUGACGUUAGCGGCGGACGGGUGUGUAACACGUGGAUACCCUACCUAUAAUACUGGGAUAACUUCGGGAAACCGGAGCUUAUACCGGAUAAUAUAUUGCUCCGCCUGGUUCCUUAGUGAAUGUCGGUUUUGCUGUCUCUUAUAGAUGGAUCCGCGCGGCAUUAGCUAGUUGGUAAGGUAACGGCUUAUCAAGGCAACGAGGCGUAGCCGCCGUGAGAGGGUGAUCGGCCACACUGGAACUGAGACACGGACAAGACGCCUACGGGAGGCAGCAGAAGGGAAUGUUACGCAAUGGGCGAAAGCAUGACGGAAGAAGGCCGCGGGAGAGAAAAAGGAGUUGGGAGCGGAAAACUGUGUUAUGAGGGAAGAACAAAUGUGGAAGAAAAAAUGCACGAAAUGACGGUACCUAAUCAGAAAGCCACGGCUAACUACGUG
rnacentral:rRNA from 1 species